UUGGCAUUCUGCUGUGGUGAAUGAUUUGCUGUUUCUUGUCUCUAUGUUUUAAUCCACAGCCCCUCGCUCGGACAUGGUGAAUGGGUGGCGGUAGCACGGGCGUUACCACAACACACCUGAGAUCAGAGUUUUGAAGAUAUAUUUAUACUUCUGUAUUUAUAGUGGCAUCAUUCAUGAAAGUGUGAAGAUAGAAACACCCUAAGGGGACCAAUGGGGUUCCAGAGAGGUCAUCAUGGCAGAGCAUCAUGGCAGCAGGCAGCAGACGCGGUGGCUCAGAGAGCAAACCUGAAAUGGCUGGAGGCUUUGAAACCUCAAAGUCCACCCUAGUGACCGGCUUCCUCCAGCAAGGCCACCCCACUGGGGACCAUACAUUCAAAUGUCCAAGAACAUGGGGGUGUACUGAGGAUUUGGGGGGGGUUUUGCCAAGUUUUUCCAACGUUUGUCCUAAAGAGGGUAUUUUCUUGUUCCUUCAAGGUGGAGUAAUGCAUAUGUGGGGAGAAAUAAAUGUGUGUGUACAUGUGUGUGCAGAGGCCAGA